rnacentral:rRNA from 1 species
CCUACGGGUGGCUGCAGUGGGGAAUAUUGGACAAUGGGCGAAAGCCUGAUCCAGCCAUGCCGCGUGUGUGAAGAAGGCCUUCGGGUUGUAAAGCACUUUCAGUGGGGAAGAAAGCCUUGGGGCUAAUACCCUCGAGGAAGGACAUCACCCACAGAAGAAGCACCGGCUAACUCCGUGCCAGCAGCCGCAGUAAUACGGAGGGUGCGAGCGUUAAUCGGAAUUACUGGGCGUAAAGCGCGCGUAGGCGGUCUGAUAAGCCGGUUGUGAAAGCCCCGGGCUCAACCUGGGAACGGCAUCCGGAACUGUCAGGCUAGAGUGCAGGAGAGGAAGGUAGAAUUCCCGGUGUAGCGGUGAAAUGCGUAGAGAUCGGGAGGAAUACCAGUGGCGAAGGCGGCCUUCUGGACUGACACUGACGCUGAGGUGCGAAAGCGUGGGUAGCAAACAGGAUUAGAUACCCCAGUAGUC